rnacentral:rRNA from 1 species
AGCGAACGCUGGCGGCAGGCUUAACACAUGCAAGUCGAGCGGGCGUAGCAAUACGUCAGCGGCAGACGGGUGAGUAACGCGUGGGAACGUACCUUUUGGUUCGGAACAACACAGGGAAACUUGUGCUAAUACCGGAUAAGCCCUUACGGGGAAAGAUUUAUCGCCGAAAGAUCGGCCGCGUCUGAUUAGCUAGUUGGUGAGGUAAUGGCUCACCAAGGCGACGAUCAGUAGCUGGUCUGAGAGGAUGAUCAGCCACAUUGGGACUGAGACACGGCCCAGACUCCUACGGGUGGCAGCAGUGGGAAUAUUGGACAAUGGCGAAAGCCUGAUCCAGCAAUGACCGCGUGAGUGAUGAAGGCCCUAGGGUUGUAAA